rnacentral:tRNA from 1 species
GCCCCGGUAGCUCAGCCUGGCAGAGCGCCCGCCUCGUAAGCGGGAGGUCGCGGGUUCAAAUCCCGCCCGGGGCUCCA